UUUUUCACAUUCAAAGUGUUUUUUUAUUUUUCUAAAAGUUCUUAGCUUGCCAGUAUUUUCGACAGGUUGAAACUGCUCUGCCCAAUACAAUAUAAACGCUUCUUUAAAUUUAUGUUUCGCGUGAUGGCAAACAUUUCCUUUUUCUGUUUCAGAUAAUUCCGUCUGCAAGUUGGAUAAUUCAGUUUGUGAAUCGCAAAUUUCUCCCCCACAUAGUUGCAGUGCAUAUUUGAUAAAAAUUGUUGACUUUAGGUUAAGUUCCAUGCAUACAUUCGCUGCUUUUCCAACAAGCGUGUUUGAGAACAAUGAACUUUUUAUUCGAAACCAAUAUUUUACAACCAGCUUAGCUAUU